GACGAACGCUGGCGGCGUGCUUAACACAUGCAAGUCGAACGGAAAGGCGCUGCUUUUGUGGGGUGCUCGAGUGGCGAACGGGUGAGUAACACGUGAGUAACCUGCCCUUGACUUUGGGAUAACUUCAGGAAACUGGUGCUAAUACCGGAUAGGAGCUCCUGAUGCCUGGUGGGGGUUGGAAAGUUUCGGCGGUUGGGGAUGGACUCGAGGCUUAUCAGCUUGUUGGUGGAGUAGUGGCUUACCAAGGCUUUGACGGGUAGCCGGCCUGGGAGGGUGACCGGCGACAUUGGGACUGCGAUACGGCCCAGACUCCUACGGGAGGCAGCGGUGGGGAAUAUUGCACAAUGGGCCGAAGCCUGAUGCAGCAACGCCGCGUGCGGGAUGACGUCCUUCGGGUUGUGAACCGCUUUCGCCUGUGACGAAGCGUGAAUGACGGUAAUGGAUAAAGAAGCACCGGCUAACUACGUG
rnacentral:rRNA from 1 species